GAUGAACGCUAGCUACAGGCUUAACACAUGCAAGUCGAGGGGCAGCAUGGUUUUAGCUUGCUAAGACUGAUGGCGACCGGCGCACGGGUGAGUAACACGUAUCCAACCUGCCGUCUACUCUUGGACAGCCUUCUGAAAGGAAGAUUAAUACAAGAUGGCAUCAUGAGUCCACAUGUUCACAUGAUUAAAGGUAUUCCGGUAGACGAUGGGGAUGCGUUCCAUUAGAUAGUAGGCGGGGUAACGGCCCACCUAGUCUUCGAUGGAUAGGGGUUCUGAGAGGAAGGUCCCCCACAUUGGAACUGAGACACGGUCCAAACUCCUACGGGAGGCAGCAGUGAGGAAUAUUGGUCAAUGGGCGAGAGCCUGAACCAGCCAAGUAGCGUGAAGGAUGACUGCCCUAUGGGUUGUAAACUUCUUUUAUAAAGGAAUAAAGUCGGGUAUGGAUACCCGUUUGCAUGUACUUUAUGAAUAAGGAUCGGCUAACUCCGUGCCAGCAGCCGCGGUAAUACGGAGGAUCCGAGCGUUAUCCGGAUUUAUUGGGUUUAAAGGGAGCGUAGAUGGAUGUUUAAGUCAGUUGUGAAAGUUUGCGGCUCAACCGUAAAAUUGCAGUUGAUACUGGAUAUCUUGAGUGCAGUUGAGGCAGGCGGAAUUCGUGGUGUAGCGGUGAAAUGCUUAGAUAUCACGAAGAACUCCGAUUGCGAAGGCAGCCUGCUAAGCUGCAACUGACAUUGAGGCUCGAAAGUGUGGGUAUCAA
rnacentral:rRNA from 1 species